GGAAAGAUGAAAAGAACUUUGAAAAGAGUUAAAUAGUACGUGAAAUUGUUGAAGGGAAACGAUUGAAGUCAGUCAUGCCAGUGGGAAUCAACUUAGAGGAACUCUAGGUGCACUUCUUCGCUUGGCAGGUUAGUGUCGAUUUUGGAUGUCAUAAAAUGACUGGGGGAAGGUAGCUCCUUUGGGAGUGUUAUAGCCCUUGGUAGAUGUGAUGUCUGGAAUCGAGGAUUGCAACGGAUACCCUUUAGGGCUAGUCACCUGAUCUCUAAUUAGUGCUAGAUUACGGACAGCAUGCUGACCGUGAUUUAAUUAUUGGUUAAAAGGUUAGAGUGCACAUAAAUUCGUUAAGGACACUGACGUAAUGGCUUUAAACGACCGUCUUGAAACACGGACCA
rnacentral:rRNA from 1 species